GCAUUCUGCCGGAUGAUCGCGCCGCUUUUUGGAAACAAAAAGGGUGAGGAAAGUCCGGACACUGGGAAACACGGGACCGGGUAAUGCCCGGGAUUCAAUCCUUGAGAGUAAUUUCAGGGCAAAGAGUACGGAAAGUGCAACAGAAAGGAUACCGCCGUCGAGGAACUCGACGGUAAGGGUGAAAUGGUGGGGUAAGAGCCCACCUCCGAUUUUGAGAGAAAUCGGGAAUGGUAAACCCUCCCGGGUGCAAUCUCAAAUAGGCGGCCUAUCAGUCGUUUCCACGGGGCCGUGGGUAGAGAGCAAGGACUCCGAUCGGUAACUUUCGGAGCAAGAUAAAUGAUCAUCCAUCUCCUUCGGGAGAGGACAGAAUCCGGCUUACAGGCAGAAUGCGUUU
rnacentral:RNase_P_RNA from 1 species